GACGAACGCUGGCGGCGUGCUUAACACAUGCAAGUCGAACGGCAGCACGGGGCAACCUGGUGGCGAGUGGCGAACGGGUGAGUAAUACAUCGGAACGUGCCCAAUCGUGGGGGAUAACGUAGCGAAAGUUACGCUAAUACCGCAUACGAUCUACGGAUGAAAGCGGGGGAUCGCAAGACCUCGCGCGAUUGGAGCGGCCGAUGUCAGAUUAGGUAGUUGGUGGGGUAAAGGCUCACCAAGCCGACGAUCUGUAGCUGGUCUGAGAGGACGACCAGCCACACUGGGACUGAGACACGGCCCAGACUCCUACGGGAGGCAGCAGUGGGGAAUUUUGGACAAUGGGCGCAAGCCUGAUCCAGCCAUUCCGCGUGCAGGAUGAAGGCCUUCGGUU
rnacentral:rRNA from 1 species